UACGGAGGGUGCAAGCGUUGUUCGGAAUUACUGGGCGUAAAGCGCGUGUAGGCGGUUUCCUCAGUCUGGUGUGAAAGCCCGGGGCUCACCCCCGGAAGUGCAUCGGAUACUGGGAGGCUAGAGUACCGGAGAGGAGGGUGGAAUUCCUGGUGUAGCGGUGAAAUGCGUAGAUAUCAGGAGGAACACCGGUGGCGAAGGCGGCCCUCUGGACUGAUUCUGACGCUGAGACGCGAAAGCGUAUGGAGCAAACAGG
rnacentral:rRNA from 1 species